GAUGAACGCUAGCGGCAGGCUUAACACAUGCAAGUCGAGGGGUAACAGGAGAGCUUGCUCUUGCUGACGACCGGCAAACGGGUGCGUAACACGUAUACAACAUGCCUUAUACUGGAGGAUAGGUUUGAGAAAUUGAUCAUAAUACUCCAUAGUUUAAUUUAAUCGCAUGGUUAGAUUAAUAAAGAUUUAUCGGUAUAAGAUUGGUAUGCGCAUGAUUAGCUAGUUGGUGAGGUAAGGGCUCACCAAGGCGACGAUCAUUAGGGGUUCUGAGAGGGAGGUCCCCCACACUGGUACUGAGACACGGACCAGACUCCUACGGGAGGCAGCAGUGAGGAAUAUUGGGCAAUGGAGGCAACUCUGACCCAGCCAUGCCGCGUGCAGGAAUACGGUUCUAUGGAUUGUAAACUGCUUUUAUACAGGAAGAAUAAGGUCUACGUGUAGACUGAUGACGGUACUGUAAGAAUAAGGAUCGGCUAACUCCGUGCCAGCCGCCGCCGUAACAC
rnacentral:rRNA from 1 species